rnacentral:rRNA from 1 species
AGCAGCCGUCGGUAAUUCCAGCUCCAAUAGCGUAUAUUAAAGUUGUUGCAGUUAAAAAGCUCGUAGUUGAAUUUCGGGGUUAGUAGGUUGGUCAUGCCUCUGGUAUGUACUGGUCUCACUGAUUCCUCCUUCCUGAUGAGCCGUAAUGCCAUUAAUUUGGUGUUGCGGGGAAUUUGGACUGUUACUUUGAAAAAAUUAGAGUGUUUAAAGCAAGCUAACGCUUGAAUACAUUAGCAUGGAAUAAUGAAAUAGGACGUUCGAUCCUAUUUUGUUGGUUUCUAGGAUUGACGUAAUGAUUAAUAGGGAUAGUUGGGGGCAUUAGUAUUCAAUUGUCAGAGGUGAAAUUCUUGGAUUUAUUGAAGACUAACUACUGCGAAAGCAUUUGCCAAGGAUGUUUUCAUUAAUCAAGAACGAAAGUUAGGGGAUCGAAGACGAUCAGAUACCGUCGUAGUCUUAACCAUAAACUAUGCCGACUAGGGAUCGGAUGAUGUUAAUUUUUUAAUGACUCA